AUUGAACGCUGGCGGCAUGCCUUACACAUGCAAGUCGAACGGUAACGGGCCUUCGGGUGCCGACGAGUGGCGAACGGGUGAGUAAUACAUCGGAACGUGCACGAUCGUGGGGGAUAACGAGGCGAAAGCUUUGCUAAUACCGCAUACGAUCUACGGAUGAAAGCAGGGGACCGCAAGGCCUUGCGCGGACGGAGCGGCCGAUGGCAGAUUAGGUAGUUGGUGGGAUAAAAGCUUACCAAGCCGACGAUCUGUAGCUGGUCUGAGAGGAUGAUCAGCCACACUGGGACUGAGACACGGCCCAGACUCCUACGGGAGGCAGCAGUGGGGAAUUUUGGACAAUGGGCGCAAGCCUGAUCCAGCCAUGCCGCGUGCAGGAUGAAGGCCUUCGGGUUGUAAACUGCUUUUGUACGGAACGAAAGGCCUUUUUUUAAUACAGGAGGGUCAUGACGGUACCGUAAGAAUAAGCACCGGCUAACUACGUG
rnacentral:rRNA from 1 species